GCGGCAUGCUUUACACAUGCAAGUCGAACGGUAACAGGGAGCUUGCUCCGCUGACGAGUGGCGAACGGGUGAGUAAUAUAUCGGAACGUACCCAAGAGUGGGGGAUAACGUAGCGAAAGUUACGCUAAUACCGCAUACGAUCCAAGGAUGAAAGCAGGGGACCGCAAGGCCUUGUGCUCCUGGAGCGGCCGAUAUCUGAUUAGCUAGUUGGUAGGGUAAAGGCCUACCAAGGCAUCGAUCAGUAGCUGGUCUGAGAGGACGACCAGCCACACUGGAACUGAGACACGGUCCAGACUCCUACGGGAGGCAGCAGUGGGGAAUUUUGGACAAUGGGCGCAAGCCUGAUCCAGCAAUGCCGCGUGAGUGAAGAAGGCCUUCGGGUUGUAAAGCUCUUUUGUCAGGGAAGAAACGGGUGUGGCUAAUAUCUGCAUCUAAUGACGGUACCUGAAGAAUAAGCACCGGCUAACUACGUGCCAGCAGCCGCGGUAAUACGUAGGGUGCAAGCGUUAAUCGGAAUUACUGGGCGUAAAGCGUGCGCAGGCGGUUUUGUAAGUCUGUUGUGAAAUCCCCGGGCUUAACCUGGGAAUGGCAAUGGAGACUGCAAGGCUAGAGUUUGGCAGAGGGGGGUAGAAUUCCACGUGUAGCAGUGAAAUGCGUAGAGAUGUGGAGGAACACCGAUGGCGAAGGCAGCCCCCUGGGUCAAGACUGACGCUCAUGCACGAAAGCGUGGGGAGCAAACAGGAUUAGAUACCCUGGUAGUCCACGCCCUAAACGAUGUCUACUAGUUGUCGGGUCUUAAUUGACUUGGUAACGCAGCUAACGCGUGAAGUAGACCGCCUGGGGAGUACGGUCGCAAGAUUAAAACUCAAAGGAAUUGACGGGGACCCGCACAAGCGGUGGAUGAUGUGGAUUAACUCGAUGCAACGCGAAAAACCUUACCUACCCUUGACAUGGCAG
rnacentral:rRNA from 1 species